GCAGAAGCUUCUGGGAAUCAGGGAAAAAUCGUUCGAACCCCAUGAUUGGCAAUGAUUGCCACUUAUAUAGGCUUGAUCCAAGGGGCAAGUUGGAGAAACAGAUUUGGGUGGCUCAAUCUCAUUCGUCCAGCUGGCACUUAAGUGAAGGCCUGUGUUGGUAUGCUUGGUAUUGCAGCAGCAUUUAGUUAGGUUACUCUGACUUGUGUUUCAAUAGAGCUUGGCAGCAUGAUACAUUGAUUCAUGAAAUAGUCUCAGUUCAAAUUCCCUGCAUUUUUGAUUGGUGGCUUAAAGAUACAACUGGUGUGGCGCACACAUGCUUUGAGUUGGUAUUCCUUAUAGUUUCACAGGUUCAUGGCAAAGCUAUCUCGCAACUUGGUUACGUGGCGCAUUCAGCAUGUAUACUGCCUUGUUCUUUAUGUGAUCUUUGACAAGUUUCAGUUGCAAACUCGCCUAAAGAAAAUUCAGAGAGAGCAUCACUUUUUCACUCAGCUGGCUUGUGUUGAAAUAUUGCUCUAAAUUCUGAUACAUUGCAGGUUUAUCAAUUUGUGCAGUGUCAGUUAUGGUAACCUGGGAAGCAGGUUGGGUUAAUUGUUGGUUGUACUGUAUUUUUUCAUGUUCCGAACCAGAACCACAUGAUGAAGCUUUCGCAUUCAAAGGCUAACAGCACCUAAGCUCAUGUUUGCAGAAGACUGAUAUGGACGCAUAUAAGGCGUUCCAUCACCAGCUACAACAGAUUGCUUCGAAAAUCCUCGAGCACCUCUACUAUGAAGACUGAACUGCUGCACUGUCAUGUCACUGGAGUUUCCAGCCACACCAGCAUUGCCGGGUGAGCCCAAAUGGCCGGAUGGAGCUAUCUGCCUGGCUUUUGCAUAAACUAACUAUUCAGACACACCACUAGAUGAGUUAGCACGAGCAAAUCCAUCGCUUGCAACUUUCGGAGAAGUAGCCUUCCAGUUUGUAACGGGGAUAGAGGGUGACUGAGCAACAAUGCUAAUAAUUCCCUUUUGGUUGUUGAAUCAUUCUUGAUUGCAUCAAGAGAAAGAGCUGAACCAGUCUCAUGUUUCGCGCUUCGCACAUGCAUUCCCAUCACAUUGUUGCACCUUGCCAACUAUUGAUACCCUGUACUGCCGGCUUGCAGGCAGCUUGGCGCUCACACAAUUGAUUCAAGGAUCACGAUGGUGUUUGAAGGGUCAAACGGUGAUUGAGACAAAUGGUGUAGCAGGUCUGCAGCAGGUAACACUUCUUGCCAUUCUGCAACUGACUGUAGCCUAGCCUCACUGUUGGAUUCACCUCAACCUUCUACAUUGCUUAAGAACUGUGGAUGCCAAGCCUUAUGUGAAGCUGUCAAAUGGAUCUGGUCUCCCUUGUAGGCCGUGAAUGCAAAUGCUACUACUAUGCAAUGCUACUAUGAGUUUGCCGCAGCUGGCUCGGUGUUGGCAACUAGUAUAACAAAGCGCUUCCGUUCGUGCUCUUCCGUUAGCAGCUUCAUUUGCCAAUUCCAUUGUUUUAUUUUUUUCCAUUUUCAUUUUGUCUUAUUGGACAUGUAACAUUGUACUCAUUAAAAUUGAAUUGGAUAAAUGGAAGGGUUAAAAUGGAUAUGAAA